UUGCUUCAUUCAGCAGCACAUACACUAAAAUUAGAAUGAUAACAGAGAUUAGCAUGGUCCCUGCACAAAGAAGAAAAAAAAAUCAAACCCUGACUCUGGCCUUCU